UUUUCCGACCACCAUCAGCCAUCUCGCCGCCGGACUCCACUUGUCGGCCAUCCCUCUCAGCCGACCUCAACAUUUCGUCACAGUUCAGCGCGAAGGUUCGCGCCGUCCCUCCUCGCCACCGAACGCCUCUCCACCGUCGUCCAUCUCUCUCAUCUAUCAGUUCCUCGCCGUCGACAAUAGAGCUGCCAUUCGCCGCUGCUCAGCGCCGAUCUCUGCGUGAAUCAGUCGGCUGAAAAAGGCGCAGCCUUGAAUUCUCCAGUCGCCACCGCCUACCUCCGGCCACUAUCAGUUGCUCGCCGUUGUUCCUCCUCACUAUCUGUCUUCAGACGGUCUCUUUUCCGCUCCCGUCUCCGAGCAGGUCAGCCACCCAGCGCGUCACUAGAUUCAGACGCCUAGCUCCACACACAGCGCGACUUUUUACCGUUUGCACUCCAGAUCUGCUGCUCCGGCGCAUCCUGCGCAUAGCUCUUACUCUGGCCUGAAUUCAGCCGCCGUCAGCGCCUCUUUGUCAGUGCCACCCUUGUCCCCGUCCACCAGACUCAUCCGCACAUCAGUAAGCCCACUCCAACCGUUGGAGUGAUUUUCAGUCGUUCCGCCAUAACCCUUAUUUGUCCAUCAUUAGCUCAGUCAUGGGACGAACGAAGACAAGACCCGGCACUACUUCUAGAGCUCCAAUUGAGCAACCCGAACCUAUGGACGAAGAUGCUACACCGCAAGAUAUCCGUGAAGAAUUCCAUGCACCCUUUGCUAUCUUCAAUGAUGACGAAGAGUCCUGUUAGCACGUUUGGAUACUCAGGAUCAGAGGAUAUCUGCGUUGGAGACUAGCUGGGAUUCUUGAACCCAGCGUUAUCCCCAUCCACCACCCGCGGGCGAUCAAUGAAUCACACCGUUGCCGGCUCAUCGAUUUUCAGGGAAGUUUCAUUUUUCUCUUUUUCACUACUUCAUUGCACUUGAGCAUUGAGGACAUUGCUCAGUUUUAGUGUGGGGGGUCGUUGUUUCUCAUGUGAAUUGAUGAGUUUGCGUGUGUUGUGAUUUUUGUUUUGUUUUGUUGAAAUGUGUCAGUAUUUGUGAAUCCCUGCAGUAAUUUAGUUUUGCAUAGUAGAGGCUUGAUUUAAGUUAGUUUGUUUUUGGUUGAGUCGGCUAGAUUUGAGUUGAAUCUUUGGAAUUCAUUGUUGAUUGUGACUUAACUGAGAUGAGGUCAUUUUUAUACUUGUUGCUGUGGGGCAAGUUUAUGAAAUAUGAUUGAGGUGAUUUGUCCGGCUGAAAUUUGAAGGAGUGUUAUCAUUGCAGUUGCUUAAAUACUUGUCUCUAGUUCAGAAGUGUUCCAUCUUGUACGAAUUGAUUUGGUUGUAGUUCAUUCUUGAGAUUUUGUACUUGUUGGAAUUUGAGGAGUUGCCUUUAGAAAAAAAAAAAA
rnacentral:lncRNA from 1 species